GGGCAAGUCUAAUUACAUAUUACAUAUGAGUAUAAUUUUUGAUUAACAGAAAAAUAAUGAUACAAAAAUACAAAGUGGUUAUGGUAAAAAGGUUGGUUUUUCAUUAGCCAUGCGCAUAAUACGAUAGAAAGGGUUUCUGGGACCAUAGUUUAUAGGACAAUUCAGCACAGAAAAAAGGGUAUGGAGACGGAGGGAAAACUAUGGCACUUUGAAGAGAAUACUGGAAAGAAGAGUGGGAGCAUCUAAGAGUUUAUGUAGAAAUGAUAAUUUUGCAGCUGCUCUUCUAUUAGCCAAUGAUGUGAGUUUGAGUACGCUGAGGACAGGGAAAUAGUCAUAUAGAGCAUAACUAAUCUUCAGAACUCAGGAAGCGAAUAAUAAAAAGCGUCUCUGGACGCGCUCUAGCUGUAGGGAGCUUGACGCUGUGUGAGGAUCCCAUAACGUCGAUCCACAAUCAAUAAUAGAUCGAAAUAAGGAACAAGAAAAAGAUUUUAAAGAAUACUCAUGCAAGAAGAUAAUUUAAUGUGUGGGUGAAAAUCAAGUGUAGGAGUAUAAAUAAAAUCCAGGUAUUUUACACUCUUUACUGAUACAAAUGUAGAAUCAUUGUAUUGAAAAGAAAUAACAGAUCGACAUCUAGCGAACGUCAUAGUUUGAUAUUUCUCCACAUUGAGGCUUAUACCCAAUGAAUUUUAUAAUUGUACAAUUAGAAUUUUUCAACAUAGAUAUUUGUAAUAUGUUAUGUUCAAACUCAUACAAAAAAGAAUUAAUCUGUAAUAGGUGGCCUGUAAAUCCCAUAAACU